CCGGUAGCUCAGUCGGUAGAGCAGCGGACUUUUAAUCCGUUGGUCGCGGGUUCGAGUCCCGCUCGG
rnacentral:tRNA from 1 species